UAUUUGCCCAGAAUAUGGAAACAGGCAUUUUUGAAACUCCUGUAGAAUUAUUUGUUGUGCUAGAACUUAGGAAAUUUUUGGGAUCAAAGACAAUGUAGCAAUUGUUGCAUUCAAAACACAGAGAGCAUCCGGCAUUCAGAUGAGCCCAGUCUCCUGUCCCUUUCCAGUUCUUGCAUCGAGAGGACUUUCGGCAGCCUGUUGCGGUUAGCGCCCUGUUUUCCACCCAACUUUUAUUUGGAAAAACUUCAAAUCAACAGUAAAGUUGAGCACACAUAUACUCUUCAUCAAGAUUCGCCAGUUGUUAGCAUUUUGCCAUAUUUGCUUUAUUGUUCUCUCGCUUCACACACUUAACACACGCACACACACACCACUUUCUUGUUUUGACCAAAACAUUUGAAAAUAAGUUGAUGACAUCAUACCACUUCACCUCUAAGAACUUCAGCCAACUCCGAAGAAAAUGAAUAUUAAUUCCGUAACUUCAUCUAAUAUACAAUCCAUAUUUGGAUUUCCAUAACUGUCCCCAAAGCAUCUUUUCCUGGCUCUUCUUUUUUUUGUUUCAGGAUCCAGUCUGGGUCUACAUGGCACUGGUGUCUGGUCUCUGGAGUCUCCUUCUAAUCAAGAACAGGCUUCUCACUUUCUAUUCUCUUUCACGACAUUGACUUUGGUGUAGGAUCCAGGCCAAUUGGUUUUGUACAAUGGCCCGUAUUCUGAAAUUGUCUGAUUGUUUCCUUAUGAUUACAUUUGAGUUCAACAUUUUUGCCAAGAAUGCCACACUGGUGAUACUGUAUGGUUCAUUCCACAUCGCAUCAGGAGGCCCAGAAAGAUGAUGUUCAGUUGAUUGCUUUCCUAAGGUGACAUCCGCCAGUCUAAGCACCGGUGGCACAUUCUGCAGCCAACAAAUCCAAAGAUACCAAUGAACAAGGGAAAUUAUUACCAACGCUAUCUGCCACUGUAUUGGCUGAAUUCAUGAAACUGUAAUAAGCCAAGAACAAAGGACCAACUUCAGAAGACGUUUAUAGAUUCAAGGUUUUUAGAAACCAGAAGCUCCGUUAUAAAGGAAUCUGGACGAGGCGGGGUAAAAAAACAGCGUGCCCAGGACCUUUGCUCAAACUCUGGCUUCUUUUUCUACAACCAUUGAAAAAAGUAAAGAUUGAUACCUUUCUUAUACUACACACCUUGUACUCAAAUAAAUCCUAGCCUGAUUUGAGGUUUUAAUGUAACAAAUAAAACCACACAAGAACCAAAGGAAAAUACAAAGAAUCAAUAAAGAAAAACAAGCAAAAUAAAACACAACAAAAAAUACAGUUGACUAUUUAUAGGAUCUUGAGGUGCAAAUGGCUAUUUGAAGAUUAAAACCAAGAACAAGUAUUGUAGAGGAAAUGAGAGCUAGCGUUGGCUUUAUUCAAGUCAAAAACUCCUUUAUUCAGGAUAAAACACCCUAAACAGAGGCAAACCAAAAGGAUGUGUGCAAAAUUCUCUUCAGUUUCCUUCUAGUUGUAGGUAAUCCACUCAAGCUAGCUCAUGACCAAAGAAAAGGAGCAGAAGAUGAGGAUACAGGGGUACCUCGCAGACUCCAAGGACAGGAGCAUAGCUGGACCUCAGGAAAAAUAAAAACAGGGCGCGGGAAGCCAUUGGGAAUGAAGGGAUGAAGUGGCCGUUCUCAGAGUUGUCCUGGGACCGCAGGGUCUCCUGUCACUCAUUUCUCAGUCUAUGCUGUUAUGUCCCUCCUUUCUCUCUCAGACUGUCUUUCCCACCUUCUCCGUGUACCCAACUGCUCCCAACCUCAUAAGUCUUCAGAUCUACCCACAUACACAAGCUGUGCCCUGCAGUGUUGCUCCCAAGAAAAUGGUGAUGUGGUGACCUGAGGGGGGACGAGUCCCUUCGCUGGACCACCCGUCCUUUUCUGGUGAGAAUAUGCAGGUUCCUGAUCUCAUCAUAUUUUCUGGUCUUUCUCCCAAAGAGCCCACUCCAAACCCCACUGCAGGGUCUGCAGGACUAAGGACCCCCCAUUUCCUGAAGAAGCAUGCCGUGUCAUCUCAGAGAGAACUGUGCAGGUCCGUUUGAGAAGAGCUCCACUGCCUCCGUGGGGGUUGAACAAGAAUCGAUGGCCACAUCUCCUCCUUAACCUUCCCAGACAACUGGAUCCCAAGCUCCCUGCAUGGAUCUGGGCAGUGGGGUGAGUGAGGGAAGGCUGAGUUCUCUUUACACGCUGGCUCUGGGGCCCCACUCUUUCCCCAUCCAUGUUUGAUCACUCGUUCUACAAAGUUCUUGGGUUGGCUACUGGCUGACCCCAAGUCUUAGGUCAGAGGGAUGGAUGUGGUAGGUUCUGGAAAGGGGAGAACCUUUUCAAAGUCCUGAGACCAGAAGAAGAAUCAUGGUACCCACUUACCCGGCCUUGCUCUGUCUGGUCUCUCCCUGUAUCAUCUGAAAUCAUUCCAGGUGCUUCCAGGGACACAAGGGCCCCCCAUUAAGAAUCAUGUCCCUUAGGAACUGUCAGUACUUGUCUCUUUAAGGCCUCAAUAAACUAUUUUCCCAAGUCAGACUCAGAGGAAUCUUGGACCAAAUGGCGUGAUGUUAUUUCCUCAUCUGAACAAAACUGCUUCAUUCUUACAUGAGGGCCCCGAAAUAUUUGUGCCCCAUUAGGAUUGGAGAAAGACCUCCUCCAGCCAGCCAUCCCAGGGAGCCUGGAGGAACUCUGGUGAAUGUAACUUUUGACCACAAGCCCAAGUUGGUAUAACUGGCCUCUGGAAGAACUCUUGGGAGGGAUCUCUCACGGUGGGCUAGUCCCUGCGUGGUUCCACUCAGCUUUGCUUAUGUUACAGAGCCUGCU